UUUAUCAUUUGAACUUUUGAAGUUUUCCAAAGGACAAUGUGUUUUGAAGCACGUGGUUAUCACCGUAAAUAGUUCAUUUUCCGACAAGGAGUGUAUCUGACAAAACAGCAGAAAGCCAAGAGAAUCAAUUACAGCAUAUCCAUCUUCUUCCCUGCUGCCUCAUCUCUCUCUUUCUCUCUUCGCUCAGUCCCACACUCAAUAGAGAUGUCUCUGCGACUUCACUUGCCGAACUUCCAACAAUGCUCCUCUCCUCUCUCUUCCUCCCUUUCUCUCCCUCCAUGUUUUCAUGUCCCUUGCUCUCAAAGACGAUGGCCACAUGCCACUUGGAGCAGCAGCAUUGCUUGCCGCUUGCCCCAGCAGCAGCAAUCUGUUGCUGUUAUUGAGAAAAACGAGACUAGUACUAGUGUACUGUCUGAAAGAAAAGUGAUUCGUUUCGGUUUGCCUAGCAAAGGACGCAUGGCUGCCGAUACUCUCGAUCUCCUCAAGGAUUGUCAGUUGUUGGUGAACCAAGUCAACCCUCGACAAUACGUUGCAGAAAUUCCUCAGCUUUCCAACUUGGAAGUGUGGUUUCAACGACCCAAAGACAUUGUAAGAAAGUUGUUGUCAGGAGAUCUGGACCUUGGAAUUGUGGGUUUUGAUACUUUCAGUGAAUAUGGACUGGGAAAUGAAGAUCUUAUCAUUGUUCAUGAUGCUCUUGGAUACGGGGACUGCCGUUUAUCCCUUGCAAUUCCUAAUCAUGGGAUAUUUGAAAGUAUAAAUUCACUGAGGGAGCUAUCACAAAUGCCUCAAUGGACAGCUUCGAAACCUCUACGAAUAGCUACUGGAUUCACUCACCUUGGUCCUAAAUUUAUGAAGGAUAAUGGGUUCGUGAAUGUGGCAUUUUCAACUGCUGAUGGAGCACUGGAAGCUGCUCCUGCGAUGGGGAUAGCUGAUGCUAUUUUGGACCUUGUGAGCAGUGGAACAACACUGAAAGAAAACAACUUGAAAGAAAUUGAAGGUGGAGUUUUGUUGGAGAGCCAGGCCGUUCUUGUUGCUAGGAGAAAAUCAUUGGUCGAACAAAAGGACGUGAGGUGCAGAACAAAAGAGAUUCUAGAAAGGUUUGAGGCUCAUUUGAGGGCGGUUGAUCAGUUCACGGUGACUGCACACAUGAGAGGAAGUAGUGCAGAGGAAGUGGCUGGACGAGUGUGCAGCCAACCAUCUCUGUCCGGAUUGGAGGGACCUACUAUAAGUCCAGUUUUCUGCAAACGUAAUGGAAAGGUUACGCCUGAUUACUAUGCUAUAGUGAUAUGUGUUCCAAAGAAAGCAUUAUACAAGUCUGUGCAGCAGCUGAGAGAGGAGGGGUUUGGGUCGGCGGAGUGGUAAUCUUUGGUCUCAUUGAACACUACAUCCCUCAGUCUCAAGAUAACUUAUAUAUCAAUGAUGGCUCUGCAUAAUUUAACUUGGCAAUCCAGACACGACAAACUUUUAGUUUGGUGUGGACAUGACAGAUUGGAGGCAGCGGUGUUUUAGUUUCUCCUUUAACUUACAUUUUUGAGGAAGUCACGCCAAGAUGGAAGGAGCUUCUUUUAAAACUGGGGUUGUAAUUUAGGGUUCUACCACUUCCUUGCAAAUUUGAGCAGCUCUCAAGGUCGGAAAGCUUUGUCAAGUUUAAUGAAUGAACAGGAAGGGGAAGAAAACAUGUCAUCAAGGCUCUGGUGACUAAUGAAUUUGUUGACAGUCUGAUUCUUUAAUGUUCUUUCACGUCAUGUUUUGUCUUGAAUUUAAUCGAAAUCAUUAAAUUAAAAUUGAAUAAAGAUGAUUUAAUAUUAUAACAAAAACUAAAAAUAAGUAUUCAUUUCACUUUUUAUCUA